GCAAACUUGGUCAUUUAGAGGAAGUAAAAGUCGUAACAAGGUUUCCGUAGGUGAACCUGCGGAAGGAUCAUUACUGUAAAUCAGGCCGGCCGCGCGCUCGCGUGCCUGCUCCGCGUCCUGCGCGUCGAGCGGCGCCGACGUCGGCCGCGCACGUCCCACUUCAAACCACUGUGCACCUGUGUCCGGGGGUGAAACCCCGGUACAACUCUACAAACAACUGUUAUAUUGUGACCCUUCGGGCGAUCUGCCCGCUAAUACACUAAACAACUUUCAACAACGGAUCUCUUGGCUCUCGCAUCGAUGAAGAACGCAGC
rnacentral:misc_RNA from 1 species